AUUUUUCUAGUAUAUUGUACAAGUGAUUUCCACUCACUAAGUCUUAGCUUCACACUAAGGAAAAAUA
rnacentral:tRNA from 1 species